CAAAUUUUAUAUUUUUAAAUCAAAACAAUCUUUCAUAUACUUUUCAAGCUUUCUCUGCUGCGUUUUUGCAAAGUGGAAGGAGUCAGCCUAGCUUCACGUAAUUCAAGGGGGGGGGGGGUCCAAAAGUUGGCCAAAAUGCCUUACGUAAUACUUGAACGGCCCCACCUGCUUGGUUCCACUUUUUUGGGCAAUUGUUUUUGCCGCAAAUGCUCGUAGAGUACUCCAGGGCCCGUGUCCACAUGAGUAAUCUCCCCACAAAGGUACUUAACCGGUAUGUAGGUCAACCUAAUGCCUAUAUAAUGCAAUGAAUGAUCGAGAAGAGUAUGAUAAAAGUGACAACAUGAGAAGCCCGUGAGAUAGAGUGAUAGCAGCCAGGGAAAACCGGCAAACCGGUCCCCGCAAUCCCCCCCUCCUCCCCCCUCCCUUUCUUUUUAUCACUUUUUAGUGCUUCGGAACCUCAGUACUCGGUCCUGUCGCGGUCUCGGCGCGGCGCCGGCGCUUCCUCGGGCUUCAAAGAUAUUGCGUCCAAGUUUGAUCGUUGAUCCAAGCAAUGAGUAUUGUAUGGCAAGAGCAUGUACAUACAAGGUUUUUACGCCGGAGUCGGUGUCACGUCGGGUGGGGUGUUGGGCGGUCCGGUCCGCGGUUCGCGGUUCAUCGGUCCAGUGCUCUGAGCUAGUGUCGCUUCGCCUCUUGAGCAAAGAGUAUUCUCGGGACCUCGGGUAGCGCCAGCGACGAGUGCGAAAGUUUCACCGCGUUCAUUGAUCUCGUGGCUUCCACCGCGCACCAGGUUCGUGUCCUUCUGUUUAUUUUACGUUCUCGUCUUGUUUAUCAACUCGCCAAAGUUUACUCAGGACCACUCAUGAACGCAGCGUCCACUCCGUGUAACCAUCCUAGAGUCAGUUCUUUUUUUCUUCUCCUCAAUCGGUAGUUGCUAUGUGCUCAAAAAAAACAAGGGGACCACUCCCCCUGGCCGCUGGCCGCGCAUCGCGCCCUCAAAGGCCCCCUCUCGCGGCUCUUCUUGAGUUGUACUCUACAUAGAGCGUCCUGCAGUAGGGACUAUCUCCUAUCGAUAGCCGCAAAAAUCAAUAAAAUCGGCCCUUUGCAUGAGAUCUUCAGGACGAAAUGUGACGAAUUUUACACUUACAUGAGAAAUUUUAAUCUCCAAAUCAAUUGAUCGCUGAGAACAGCUCUAAACUGCCCCUAAGACGCCGCAAUUUCUCAAAUUUUUGGGGGAAGGUCCCCCGGGCUCCGCUAGACUGGUAAAUCCUCGAGCUUCCUUUUGGAGCUGGGGAGGCCCACAAAUCAUCCUUGAUGGGAUAUUUUAUAUAGUGUUUCCUAGACCUCCCUCAACUAUAUGUCCGUCUGGCACUCCGUCCUCCACAAAAAGCUUU
rnacentral:lncRNA from 1 species